AUGAUGACGAUCUCCUCCUCUUCAUCGCAUCCCCCAGGACUGCUCUCUUUCUUGCCCCGGCCUUGGCUUGUCCCCUCGUUUCCUGUCCCCUGCCUGGGUUUGAUGUGUUUCUCUCUCUGUUGUUUUUUCUUCUUACCCUGGCCUGGGCUAGCUGCUGCAGGGUCUCUGCUGGAAGCCCUUGCUCCUGCGCAUAUCCCGGAAUCAGGUCCUGGCAGAGCAGUGGUCCGCCUCCUCUCCAGGUCUGUCUGGACCCCGGCUGAUCUCGUUGCUCUCCCUGUGCUCCCCGUGUGUGCCAGGUCCCCCAGUGCUCCAGCCAAGGCAGAUGCUGAGGAUGUAGAGUCUGCAGGCUCUGCUGUGGGAGGAGGCACGCUGGGUCCUGUGGCCGAGGGAGUACUUGGUGCCUUGCUUGGGGCUCCCUGGCUCAUGGCUGCAGCACGGCGUAUGACUGUGGAAACGAUGGUCUUGACUCCUUCAUCCAGCUCGUCAUCACAGGCACUGGAGGCAUGUCGGGCACGUCCCUGGCUCUCAACCAUCACUGCAGUGCUGUGCUCACUGGGGCUUGGAGAGGCUGCUGGUUUUGACUGUGGAGCCCCACGUGUCAGGGGAGGCGUCCUGUGUCCCUCAUCUUCCAGAGCAGGGGCUGCUGGAGGACUUGCUGGCCUGCUCUGUGCUGCUGUUGUUGAAGUGAGAGGCGUGCUGUGCCUCUCUUCCCCAGGAAUUUCUUCCUGGGGAGCAGCUGAUGGGACAGUGUCCAUGGUUUGCAGCGAGCCAGGAGAGGCGCUUGCUGAGUGUUUUGCUUCUUGUGCUGCCUCCCUGUCCACACUGCUGGCUGCGCUGCCCUCUUCCUGGGGAACAUCCUGUGGGUCUGUGAAGAGGCUGGCGUACCUGGGGUUGAUCCAGGAGUUGAUGAUGACGAUCUCCUCCUCUUCAUCGCAUCCCCCAGGACUGCUCUCUUUCUUGCCCCGGCCUUGGCUUGUCCCCUCAUUUCCUGUCCCCUGCCUGGGUUUGAUGUGUUUCUCUCUCUGUUGUUUUUUCUUCUUACCCUGGCCUGGGCUAGCUGCUGCAGGGUCUCUGCUGGAAGCCCUUGCUCCUGCGCAUACCCGGGAAUCAGGCCCUGGCAGAGAAGUCGUCCACGUCCUCUCCAGGUCUGUCUGGACCCCGGCUGAACUUGUUGCUCUCAAUUUGCACCCCGUUUGUGCCAGGUCCCCAAGUGCUGCUGAUCGUUGGCCGUGUUCCCAGCUUUUUUGCGUCUUCUCCAGCACUUCAGACACGCGGGAGUGUGCUGUGUCCUGCAGUGCCGUGCAAGAGUCUGCAGGGCUGUGUGGGGCAGGGUGCCAGCUCUUCUUUAAAUUCUGGGGCCCAGUUGCGGGCUGA
rnacentral:lncRNA from 1 species